CCCCAGAAGCAGUUCCUCUUCCUGCCUCUUCUAUGGAUCUGGGUUUAUUGUUUUUGUUUGUUUAUUUCUCUCGUUUUCCAGUCAAUUCUUGCGCCUUUGUAUCUUGGUUGUUUUUGAUUGACAUUGCCCAGGAAAGCUUGUAAGGAGAUUUUGACGCUUUGCAGUGCUGAUAGGAGCGUUCACCUGGAUCCAAUCAGGGAUGAAUUUAUUGGAAACCGGGCUUGCUGCAGUGGCAUGAUAUCAGCUCACUGCAACCUCCGCCUCCCCGGUUCAAGUGAUUCUCCUGCCUCAGCCUCCCGAGUAGCUGGGAUUACAGGUGCACGCCACCAAGCCCGGCUAAUUUUUGCAUUUUUAGUAGAGACGAGGUUUCA
rnacentral:sRNA from 1 species